AUGCUGACGAGUCCCAAACAGGACGAAACGCGCGUCCUGGAU
rfam:Schistosoma mattheei strain Denwood, Zambia genome assembly, scaffold: SMTD_scaffold0011179